CCUGCAUGUUAUGGAGGAAUGAAUUGGUUGAUAUGAUGCAAUUAGAUGAAGGCAAUGGGAGUACUCUUUUCGUUCGUUUUCAUCAUUCCGAAUUAGAUAAUAAGAGCAGCAAAACCACAAUUAUUGUUGCAGUAUCUGUUGUGCCAGCAGUUGCAGUCAUUGUAUCCAUUUGGCUACUAUGUAGCUGGCAAGCAAGAAUCCGAGCAGCCAAGAAAAAAGCUGAAAUUC